UAUAAUUAUAUUUAGCCACAUUUACGUGUCAGCUGACAUUGACACAGAUUAGAAUGACGCAUGUCCAAUUGCUUGGUGGGGUCAUGCAUCCAGUUCAAUCGUACAAAUAGGCUGGGCAUUCCAACCAUAUAUCUUCGGAAGUUAAACAGCUUAUCUCAGUCUUAUUGACGUGUAAAUCAGCUUGAUUGCGCCAUGUCACGAUUAGUCAUCAAAUUCACAAAGGCUGAUGCUUGGUGAUAAACGUAUAUGCGAAUAGUGCUGUUCAAGUCAUUAAGCAGUUGAGAAAAAUUGUUCGGAUCACGGAAGCAAGGUUAUGAUUUCACGAGCACAAUAUCAGCAGUUACGCAGUAUUGCUUAAAGACAUUUCCUCAUGGAGAUAAUCUACCUACUAGUCAAAGUAUCGGUGAAUGGUGAUAGUGGUCGAUGCAGGUUCUAGAUCAUAGGGAAAAAAACAAGAAACAAGCACGGCUCAAAUUUAGCUGAAGUCUAAGAAUGUCAACAUGGGGUUAAGGAAUACAGGU